CCCUUAGAUGUUCUGGGCUGCACGCGCGCUACACUGAUGCGCUCAACGAGUUUACGACCUUGCCCGGAAGGGUUGGGUAAUCUUUUUAAAACGCAUCGUGAUGGGGAUAGAUUAUUGCAAUUAUUAAUCUUGAACGAGGAAUUCCUAGUAAACGCGAGUCAUCAGCUCGCAUUGAUUACGUCCCUGCCCUUUGUACACACCGCCCGUCGCACCUACCGAUUGAAUGGUUCGGUGAAGAUCUCGGACUUCGAUAUUUGUUCUUCAUUGAACUUAUAUAGUGGGAAGUUAUCUGAACCUCAUCAUUUAGAGGAAGGUGAAGUCGUAACA
rnacentral:rRNA from 1 species